AAUAGAUACCCAGGUAGUCCACGCCGUAAACGAUGGAUGCUAGCUGUUAUGCGUAUCGACCCGUGUAGUAGCGAAGCUAACGCGUUAAGCAUCCCGCCUGGGGAGUACGAACGCAAGUUUAAAACUCAAAGGAAUUGACGGGGACCCGCACAAGCGGUGGAGCGUGUUCUUUAAUUCGAGGCUAAGCGAAGAACCUUACCAGGGCUUGACAUCCUUGGAAUUUCUCCGAAAGGAGAGAGUACUUUAUUGGACCAAGUGACAGGUGCUGCAUGGCCGUCGUCAGCUCGUGUCGUGAGAUGUUUGGUUAAGUCCAUUAACGAGCGCAACCCCUAUGAAUAGUUGUAUUUUUCUAUUCAGACUGCCCCGGUAACGGGGAGGAAGGGGGGAUGAUGUCAGGUCAGUAUUGCCCUUACGCCCUGGGCUAGAAACGCGCUACAAUGGCCGGUACAAUGCGCUGCCAACCCGCGAGGGGGAGCAAAUCGCAUCAAAGCCGGUCCCAGUUCGGAUAAGAGGCUGAAACUCGCCUCUUUGAAGCCGGAAUCGCUAGUAAUCGU
rnacentral:rRNA from 1 species